rnacentral:rRNA from 1 species
UGGGGAAUAUUGCGCAAUGGGGGGAACCCUGACGCAGCAACGCCGCGUGAAGGAUGAAGGCUUUCGGGUUGUAAACUUCUUUGAUGAGGGGACGAAAGAAAUGACGGUACCUCAAAAACAAGCCACGGCUAACUACGUGCCAGCAGCCGCGGUAAUACGUAGGUGGCGAGCGUUGUCCGGAAUUACUGGGUGUAAAGGGCGUGUAGGCGGGGAUGCAAGUCAGAUGUGAAAUGCCGGGGCUUAACUCCGGAGCUGCAUCUGAAACCGUGUUUCUUGAGUGUCGGAGAGGAAAGCGGAAUUCCCAGUGUAGCGGUGAAAUGCGUAGAUAUUGGGAGGAACACCAGUGGCGAAGGCGGCUUUCUGGACGAUAACUGACGCUGAGGCGCGAAAGCGUGGGGAGCAAACAGGAUUAGAUACCCUGGUAGUCCACGCUGUAAACGAUGGAUACUAGGUGUAGGAGGUAUCGACCCCUUCUGUGCCGGAGUUAACACAAUAAGUAUCCCACCUGGGGGAGUACGGCCGCAAGGUUGAAACUCAAAUGAAUUGACGGGGGUCAUAG